rnacentral:rRNA from 1 species
AACGAACGCUGGCGGCGCGUCUUAAACAUGCAAGUCGAACGGCAAGAGAAAAGCUUGCUUUUCUCCUAGAGUGGCGGACUGGUGAGUAACACGUGGGUGACAUACCUUUUAGAUGGGGAUAGCUGCUAGAAAUAGUAGGUAAUACCGAAUGUGACCGCGUCCGGUAAUCGGAUGCGAGGAAAGGAGCUAAGGCUUCGCUAAAAGAAUGGCUCGCGGCCCAUUAGCUGGUUGGUGAGG